CGGCUAAUUUCCUCGUCCUUGAAUCUCGUCUUCUUCGCUUUCUAGGUCGAAAUUGCCAGAAAUGUCAUCGGCGGAGCAUGUUCUACUCUCGCUAUUGUCGGAGCUCGCUUUCUCAUUCGACGGUUCCGUCCUCGGAUUUACCCUAGCUUUCGGUGCCGUUCGCUCGAUCCUCAAGUACACCUCCAGCUCCGCUGCGUUGCGUAAGAUCAGAGAUUCUCCGGAGGUCCGCAUUUCCGAUCUCCGGUCGUUGAUUCCAGCAUCCGAAGAUGAAUCGCGUCAGUAUGAUCACCAUAAUGGCGAUGAUCAGCGUUUGGUGAUCGUUCGAGGGACCGUCAAGCCGAAAUUCGCCGUUGACGGGGGCUGCAAGAACAACGUCCUGGUGUCUCAGGAGACUGGAGACAGAGCUGUUAUUAUUGAGAGAACGCAAACGUAUGUGUAUAGUGGAUGGAAGAGCUUCUUUCAGUUUACAAGCGGCCCCCGAGCAUUAUUUGGCAGAUCUCUGCGUAAACAAGAGGCUUCUUCAUUGAGAAUGGUGCCGUUUGUUAUCAUGGAAAACGAUCAACAACCACCAUCACUGCCUAAUUUUGUUGUUGUCAACAUGGAUGGCUCAAUGCAACCUCUGCCCCUCACAACUGUAUAUAACCGCUUACAGCCUAUUAAUGCAUCUCCUUUUGGAUUCCUCCAAGCUUUCCUUUUCCCCGAGUAUCCUGUUGGUCUGCUUGAUGAAGAAAAGAUUCUACCACCUGGAAAAGCGAUAACAGCUGUUGGCAUCUGCAAUUUUAAUAAUGGUGUUCCCGAAAUCAAGUCCUGCAAAGAUCUUCCCUAUUUCUUGUCUGAGAUGUCAAAGGAUAAGAUGAUACUGGAUCUUAUUUUUCGGACGGAAGUACUAUUCUGGAGUAGCGUUGUGAUGGGUUGUGUGUCUAUCGGCAUCCUUGGGUAUGCUGCUGUCAGGGGAUGGAGCAAAUGGAAAUCAUGGAAACAUGAGAGGGAUCCACAGCGCCCAAGCCAGCCAUCGACUGACGAUGAUGGUGAAGAUACGGACGACAUCCCAGAUGGACAGCUGUGUGUGGUCUGUUUGACAAGGAGGAGAAUUCCGGCAUUUAUCCCGUGUGGACAUAUAGUGUGUUGCCGACGCUGUGCCUUGGCCAUCGAACGGGAAUUAGCCCCAAAGUGCCCUGUUUGUUGCCAGAGCAUCAGGGGAUCCAUGCGUGUAUAUUAUGCUUGAGGGAAAAGAGAUUGUGUUCUGCCAUAUGUUGUGACUUCUAGGAAAUGUAGUUUAUGCAAGUAUUUUGGAAGCACAAUUUCAGAAUCUGCGAGCUUACAACGAAAAGACAAAUAUAAAGAGCUACUUCUACAAGGAGCAAAAGGAAACAGCCUUUCCUUUCCACCAGAGACACCAGCAAAGGUAUCUCCAUCUUCCGUUCUUAUCUCCCAGUUGUGCUCAUACUUUCUCAAUAAAGCUCGGCUCCUUCAGUGGCAAUCUCUCCAAAUAUUUCUGUAGAAAAUCCGGCUCUUCUUAUCAUGUCAGACCAUUUCUCCUUCCCUUCAUCCAUCUCUCCUAAGCGCACUAUUGCCUCCUUUGUCGCUUCUCCUUCCAUUAGCUUCCUCUCUCCAGAAUCCUGACCUUUGAAUCCAGUGUUUGUGGAGUCUAAUAAACUUCCACAUUUACUCCAGUUUUUUUCGAGAAACCUGUUGCAAAGUCUUCACAACUGCAUUCAGCUUUGGCAGCAGACUUGUUUGUUGUCCUUCUGGUCCUGCCUGGUCUUUUGACCGGCCUAACUUCCGCAAGCGCAUCCCCGUUACAUUUUCUGGACUGAUCACUCGGUUGCACCUGCGCUAGUGGAGGAUCCAGAACAAUUAUUGGAGCUCCUCUUACCAGUCUCACAGCGCAGGAUGUUCAAAGACUGAAGAAAGAUACGAAGACAGGAGUUUGGAGGGUUUGUAUUCCGGUUUAAGAGACUGAACCGAAGAUUGGAAACAUACCAAAGCGAUAGGACCGGGCGGGAUUUUUCAAUGAUUUGGAGCAAACCGGAAUAACUACCAGCAAUGUGUUCUCAUUCCGGUUUCAGUUCUGUUCUAAAUUUGCUACUACUUUUUUUUUUAUCUCAGUAGAAUUUACAAGUUACUGUACGGAAUUGAAAAAGUCGAAAUUCAUGCUGUGAAAAGGUACA